GAUGAACGCUAGCGGCAGGCUUAACACAUGCAAGUCGAGGGGUAUUUAUCUUCGGAUAGAGAGACCGGCGCACGGGUGCGUAACGCGUAUGCAAUCUACCUUUUACAGAGGGAUAGCCCAGAGAAAUUUGGAUUAAUACCUCAUAGUAUAUAGACUCGGCAUCGAGAUUAUAUUAAAGUCACAACGGUAAAAGAUGAGCAUGCGUCCCAUUAGCUAGUUGGUAAGGUAACGGCUUACCAAGGCUACGAUGGGUAGGGGUCCUGAGAGGGAGAUCCCCCACACGGGUACUGAGACACGGACCAGACUCCUACUGGAGGCAGCAGUGAGGAAUAUUGGACAAUGGGCGCAAGCCUGAUCCAGCCAUGCCGCGUGCAGGAUGACGGUCCUAUGGAUUGUAAACUGCUUUUAUACGAGAAGAAACACUGCUACGUGUAGCAGCUUGACGGUAUCGUAAGAAUAAGGAUCGGCUAACUCCGUG
rnacentral:rRNA from 1 species